GGAGGAGGAGGCUGUGGAGGUGAAGGAGGAGGAGGCUGUGGAGGUGAAGGAGGAGGAGGAGGGCGGGCAGGUGGAGGAGGAGGAGGCUGUGGAGGUGAAGGAGGAGGCCGGGCAGGUGGAGGAGGAGGCCGGGCAGGUGAAGGAGGAGGCCGGGCAGGUGGAGGAGGAAGCCCACCCUGACAUGGAAGGACCAGCUGUCUCUACUGUGCAGAAGAAGAGGAAGAGGCAAGAGCUUCACAGCCAGAAGAAGGCACCCCUCAAGAGAACUUUACCCAAAAAUUGCUCCUACCAUAUUGGUCGUGAUGCUUACGAAAUAAGGGGCUACGGAAAGGAGAGAAUCAGAAAGGUUUGACAGACCCAGCAAAAACACAUGCGGGUUUAACUGUAGAAAAUACAAUCUUGCUGAUUGGCAAUGUAAAGCAUGCACAUUAAUUGCAUACUGACUAUCAAUCUCAUAGGCCACUGAAUUUAUUAUCUUACUACUGAAAUGAUGGCCCCUUUCCUUUAUAGGGCAAAACAGAGGUCCUGGUUGAGUGGCAGCCUUGCCCAGUUUGGUAUGUAUUUAAUUUGGUUUCUUUGGGUCUGUUUUUCAAACCACUUCAUUUCUUUUUCAGAGUAUUCUAUAUUAUACCAUUAUAUUGCGCCAUCUUGGAAUAUUCAAGUUCAAAACCACACACUAUUGUAACGUUUACCAGUAUUUCUUCAGCUAAAGAGACUUACCAACCAGAUUUCCAAGUGGAUUCAUCAUUCCCUUUCCUGUUGCAAUAGGAUCUUGAAUUAUUAGAACAUUAAUUAGAGGUUUGGUAUUGCUCUAGAACAGAAAUGUGAAAAGAUUGGGCUUCAGUUGUGAUUGCCUACCUCAUAGAUGUUAAUCAAUAUAAUGUAGGGAUAUAUGGUAUUUUUAAUAAGUGAAGUUGCACCAAUAAUCACAAAACUGUUCAAUGUUUUUUUCUACUCUUUUCAGUGGGAAGGAGUUGGCCAAGGCCUGGCAGUCAAAAUAAAAUUCAAAUUAAAAUAUUCCUUUGAGUUUGGUCUUUUGACUGUCUUUUCAGUCCAACCCGGUAUCACGUGAUAUCGUGCUCACGAACGUUGUCUUAAUGCCUUCUUUAAGCAAAUGAGGGGAAAAUCCAACCUUUUAGGCCACCAAUUUUCUGUGUGAAUGAAUAAUGUAUCGUUAUUCGUUAAUAAACAAAUGUUCUUCAUUCAAAUACAGGGUGCAUAAGUAAAGGAACCCCUAUGUUAAAUUCUCAUAGAGGCAGGCAGAUUUUUAUUUUUAAAGGCCAGUUAUUUCAUGGAUCCCAGGAACAAUUCAUCCUGAUAAAGUCACAAAGGCCUUUGGAAUUAAAAUAGCCCCACAUCAUCACAUACCAUUUUCCAUACCUUGAUAUUGGCCUGGUUAUUUUCAGUUAGCCUAGUAGCUGCUAGUUAGCCUAAUGAUUUCUCAAUGCAAAUCAAACCAUCUAUUAUGCUAAAUGAAAAAAAUGCAUGCUAAUCUCUAGGUAUGGUGAAGGGUAUGUGAUGAUGUGGGGCUAUUUUAAUUUAAUUUUAAUUUAAUCAAUUAAAAAGAGAAAGAUGCGGAAACGUUCUUGUACAGGACCAGCUCUUCACUCUCGCAAGGAUCCUGGAGGGGGCCUGGGAGUAUGCCCAUCCGGUCUACAUGAAUUUGUGGAUCUGGAGAAGGCGUAUGACUGGGUCCUCCGGGAGAAACUGUGGGAGGUGCUGCGGGAGUAUGGGGUAAGGGGGUCUCUCCUCAGGGCCAUCCAAUCUCUGUACUCCCAAAGCGAGAGCUGUGUUCGCGUCCUCGGCAGCCAGUCAGUUUCGUUCUCAGUGGGUGCUGGUCUCCGCCAGGGCUGCGCCUUGUCCCCAAUCCUGUUUGUGAUAUACAUGGACAGGAUAUCGAGGCGUAAUCGUGGUGGGGAGGGGUUGCAAUUCGGUGGCCUGAGGAUCUCGUCACUGCUUUUUGCAGAUGAUGUGGUCCUCAUUGGAUCAUCGGCCUGUGACCUUAAGCACUCACUAGAUAGGCUGGCGGCCGAGUGUGUAGCGGCUGGGAUGAGGAUCAGCACUGCUAAAUCUGAGGCCAUGACUCUUAGCCGGAAACCGGUGGAUUGCUUACUCCGGGUAGGAAAUUUGUACUUAGCCCAAAUGAAGGAGUUCAAGUACCUCUGGGUCUUGUUCGCGAGUGAGGGUACGAUCGAGCAUGAGAUUGGCCGGAGAAUCGGAGCAGCGGGGGCGGUAUUGCGUUUGCUAUACCGCACCGUUGUUACGAAAAGAGAUCUGGGCCGCAAGGCAAAGCUCUCGAUCUACCGGUCGAUCUUCGUUCCUAUCCUAACCUAUGGUCAUGAGGGUUGGGUGAUGACCGAAAGGACGAGAUCGCGGGUACAAGCGGCCGAGAUGAGUUUUCUCAGAAGGGUGGCUGGCGUCUCCCUUAGGGAUAGGGUGAGAAGCUCAGCCAUCCGUGAGGAACUCGGAUUAGAGCCGCUGCUCCUUUACUUAGAAAGGAGUCAGCUGAGGUGGUUCGGGCAUCUGGUAAGGAUGCCCACUGGGGGCCUCCCUUGGGAGGUGUUUCAGGCACGUCCAGUGGGGAGGAGACCUCGGGGAAAACCCAGGACUAGGUGGAGAGAUUAUAUCUCAACAAUGGCCUGGGAACGCCUCGGGAUCCCCCCGUCAGAGCUGGUCAAUGUGGCCCGGGAAAGGGAAGUCUGGGGCCCCCUGCUUGAGCUGCUCCCCCCGCGACCCGACCCUGGAUAAGCGGACGAAGAUGAGAUGAGAAGAUGCGGAAAUUGGUUUUGCAGAUAUCAGCAGUUUGAGAACAAAAAGGUAUUUUUAACAUACAGGCUGUUAACCCUAUUCUAGUAAUCCCCCCCAAAUGCAAUUAUAAACACUUAUAAUGCAUAAAAGGGGAUCUUUAAGGCAAGCAACUUUGGUUUUUAUGAGUAGCGUUAACGUAGCUUACUAUAAAUAAUGAAACUGAGCUUCGCAUGAUGUUGCUUUAUUGCUGGAGAACUAAACAGCGUCGCGCCCCGGACGUCACUUCCAGUUCGCGUUUAUACUACCGUAAUGACGUAAACAGUAUGUUGAAGCUUAUAGUGAACAUUAACAUUGAUUCAGACUACUGGCGUGAUCUGAUUGAACUUGUUGAACUUGUCUGUUACUUAUACUUCUGGUUACUUUGAAUAUUCAUUAACUAACCAUCCACUUGGUCUGUAAACAACAUUAAACACAAUGAAAUAUACAAUCAAAUUGCUUCAGUGUAAUGUAUCAAGUAAGUGCUUUCACAAAAGCCAUUUCAAAUAUAAAACAUAGAAUCACACUUUCAGAUUCAGAAACAUAUAUAUUUGUUUUUUUUAAAUCCAUGUUGCCUGUUUUCUCAGGCUGUUUCAAAGUCAUUGAGGUACUGUGGAGGCCGUCGGUGCCUAGCGGGGUACCUUUCCACCACUGGGACUGUCAGCGGUGACUUCCCCAUCCUCUUCUUCUGUCGCAGGCCAGGUUGGAGCUUCUUGAAAAAGGAGGAGUUUCUUGUCACUGUGUCCCUAACGCUCAGCCGUGACCAUAGAGCCCUUGACGGUGGUCACCCUGUACGGCUUAGGAUUGUAGGCUUUAGUGAGUUGAUUGUGCCUGGGUUGAAAGCACAAUACCAUGUUACCAGGUUGGAGAGGGUAAGGCGUAGCGUGACGGCGAGUGUCCGAGUACAGCCUCAUCUUGGCUUUGGCCUUGCGGUCUCCGGCGAAGAUCCUCGUCUGGUCGGAUAGGUGUGCUCACUGAAGGCAUCUUUGUGUGUAUGCUGCGCUCUAGCAGCAACUCAGCGGGUGAUGUUGUUGUGCUGUGUGGUGUUGCACGUUACUCGCGUAGGAACGUGUAGAGAUGCUUCUUCCAGGGGAUAUUCUCCAUGUGGGCAACACGGAGGCACUUUCCAAGUGUUCUCAUGAACCUCUGCAGUUGCGUUAGAUGAAUGAACAUAGUGGUGUGAUUUUUCGAAGGUGAAACCCCAUGUAGGCUGCAAACUUGCUGAACUGCUCACCGUUGAAAGGGGGGCCGUUGUCAGUCUUCACCGUUCUGGGGAUGCCAAGCAUCGAGAAGAUCUUGUCCAUGACAGGGAUAACAGAAUUAGCAGAGGUGGAGUGCAUGACUUCCACUACAGGAUACCGGGAGUACUCGUCCACGAUAAAUUGCAAAUGUUCACCUGUCGGCAGUGGGCCGUAGAAGUCUGCACUGACAUCUUGCCAGACUGUGUUGGGGAGGUCGGACAUCUGCAGAGGUUCGUUGUGAGUUUCUGGUGUAUUAGCAUGACAUGCCAAACAGUUUCUCAGCAUCGCCUCAGCUUGUCGAUCGAUGUUUGGAAACCACACCUUCUCUCUCAGGAGGGCCUUUGUCUUCGUGAUUCCCUGAUGUGCGAGCUGGAGGACCCUGUGCUCAAGUGAGGAGGGAAUGACGAUUCUGGAACCUUUUAGUAUGAUGUAAUUUUCAUGUGACACUGUGAGCUCUCAUUUCACGUUCAUAUUGUCUCAGUACAGUGUCUUUUGUGACCGUGUGCCACGUAUUGUUGCGUAUGAGAGCACUGACCUUUUGUAGUGUUUCAUCUUUGAGUGUCUCACACUUGAUUUCAUCCAGAGUCAUUGCUUUUGGUGUGUUGUUCUGCAUGAUGAAAUUCACGUAUUCCUCAGCUACUUUUGUUGCACGUGUGUUUUUGGUAGGUGCUUUUGCUGGGAUAGGUGACGGGCAACAUGGUCUCACAGGAAUCCGUGAAAUGACUACGGUCGGACGCUUAACUCGAAAUCCGUGGCCACAUCACGGAAACACGCCGAUAUCCGUGUGUGAGCCACGGAAUAACAGUGUCAUUUACUUGCAUUUGGGCAAAUUCCGUGGCCACAUCACGCACAAUUGAAGUGAUUCCGUCAGACCACCACGGAUUUUGAGUUAAGCACCCGCUGUGGUCAAAUGUGGCACACACACAGAUUGAAACGGGAGCACACACACACACAGAAUGAAACGGGAAUCUGUGUGUGUGCCACGGAAUAUCAUUGUCAUUUACUUGCAUUGGAGCAACUUCCGUGGACACAACAAGGACAAUUUAAGUGUUUCAGUGAGACCACCCCGGGUUUUGAGUUAAGCCCCCGUGGUCGACUCGCUCGUUGAAACGGGGAUCCGUGUGUGAGCCACGGAACAUCAGCGUCAUUAACUUGCAUUGGAGCGAAUUCCGUGGCCACAUCACGGAAAUCAGCGUGUUUCCGUGAUGUGUCCACGGAUUUCGAGUUAUUCGUCCGUAGUAAUUUCACGGAUUCCUGUGAGACCAGGUUGCUUGUUUUAGACUUGUGAGUGAACAUAUGUACAGUAUAUAGGGAAAGUACAAAAAUACUUUAUUUUGGAAAUGGACCAAGGAAAGGUUGGUGGAGGGAGAAGAGUGGCAGUGAGAGUGUGGAUGUGUGGAAGACCUAGGGCCUCUCCGAAUAGUCUUUUUUGCAUAGGAAAUUUCCUUUCCUAUCGAGAUGACCCGGAAAUACUCGGCAGAUAGGUGAUUCGAAUUCUCAAAAUACUUAGGAAAGGCAUGGGAAAGGAGCCUUGAUUCAUCCUUUAACCCUCCUUUAGCAUAGGUUAAUCCGGACCAACCUAUGCGAAAGGAAAGGAGAUAGUGGUAUCCCAUAAUCCUUUACGGCGGCAAGACUUAAAGCAACAGGCCACCGCCGGAGUUUACCGACUCUACACAAAUUCAUACGAACAAGAGGUAAAACAGAAGAGAGGAGAGGAGAAGAGAGGAAGAUUUAACUCGGCUAAAACAAAAUACCCCCCACCCCCCUCCCUCCCUAAAGAUAAUAAAGAACUCAUAAAAGACCUCAUCAUAAUGGUUAUUUUCGUAGCACAUAAUUUACACCAUAAGAAAAUAAAAUACCAACUUCACAUUUAAUGAAGUUACUAGGGCAGUUAAUUUCAACAUCAAGAUGUGUAGCCUCUUUUUAUUCCACAUGUGAAUUGGGAUAUAUUGGAGGGGAUUCUCACUCUGUUGGCAAAAACCUGAUUAAAAUCAAUAUGAAAAGAAUGCAUGGAUCAAAAUAGGCUAGUGUUGUAAAACUAGGAAAAGUGGAGUCGAAUUCAUUUGAAACAUUGCUGUCUUUUCCUAUGUUCGAUAGGAAGCACCUUUCAUCUCUCCUUAACCCCGAUGACGUUCAGGGGUUAAGGUAUAGGAAAGGAGGCUUAUAGGUUAGGAGAUUGGACUAUUCGGAGAGGCCCCAAGAAGACAUAGAACUUUAUGUCUGAUGAAAUACAGUAAGGGCUACACUGAUAGACCCUGUUGUGAAUCAUGGUCUCUCAUUGAGAGAGGCAGGGUUGAGAGUGCAACCCAAUCUGCAAAGAUUUAAAGUUGCAUCGGUAAUACGAAUUUUUAAAAAGAUAUGAAAAGUUGAGAUGCAUCCUUUCAGUAAAUUGCAAAAUUGAAGGAAUUGACUUCUGUUUUAGAAUUAUAAAAUAUUAACACAGAUAAAUACUAC
ensembl:lncRNA